GCCCCCCCCACCUCCCGCCCUUCCCCUUCCCUCCCACUCCCCCUUUCCGCUCAGUCAUCUCGCACCUGCAGUUUAUGGCUUUCACCCCCUCCAGUGACCAAAGACUUGAGAAGUCAAAGUCCAGCUCCCCAGAACACUGCUCGACAUGGACACCGGUGUGAUUGAAGGUAGAUUAAAUGUCACUCUCACCAUCCGACUACUUAUGCAUGGAAAGGAAGUUGUCAGUAUCAUCGGAAAGAAAGGAGAAUCAGUUAAGAAGAUGCGUGAAGAGGGUGCACGAAUCAACAUCUCAGAAGGGAAUUGUCCUGAGAGAAUUAUCACCUUGGCUGGACCCACUAAUGCCAUCUUCAAAGCUUUUGCUAUGAUCACUGACAAACUGGAAGAGGACAUCAGCAGCUCUCUGACAAAAAGCACAGCUGCCGGUAGACCCCCAGUCACCCUGAGGCUGGUGGUCCCUGCUAGUCAGUGUGGCUCUCUCAUCAGAAAAGGUGGUUGCAAGAUCAAGGAAAUACGAGAGAGUACAGGGGCUCAGGUCCAAGUGGCCGGGGAUAUGCUUCCCAAUUCAACUCAGCAAACCAUUACUAUUGCUGGCAUUCCGCAAUCCAUCAUUGAGUGAGUGAAACGGAUUUGCGUGGUCAUGUUGGAGUCCCCCCUGAAGGGCGUGACCAUCCCCUACUGGCCCCAGCCAUCCAGUUCUCCAGUCAUCUUUGCAGAUGGUCAGUUAACCAAGAUGCACCGAUUGGCAAUGCAACAGUCUCAUUUCCCCAUGACGCAUGGCAACACCAGAUUCAGUGCAAGUUUGGAUGCGUCAGCUCAAACUACUUCUCCUGAACUCACCAUUCCAGACUAUUUGAUUGGCUGCAUAAUCGGGCGUCAAGGCGCCAAAAUCAAUGAGAUCCGUCAGAUGCCUGGGGCGCAGAUCAAAAUUGUGAACCCAGUGGAAGGAUCAACUGACAGGCAGGUUACCAGCACUGGAUCUGCUGCCAGCAUUAGCCUGGCUCAGUAUCUAAUCAAUGUCAGGCUUUCCUCGGAGACGGGUGGCAUGGGGAGCAGCUAGAACAAUGCAGAUUCAUCCAUAAUCCCUUUCUGCUGUUCACCACCACCCGUGAUCCAUCAGUGUAGUUUCUGAACAGUCAGCGAUUCCAGGUUUUAAAUAGUUUGUAAAUUUUCAGUUUCUACACACUUUAUCAUCCACUCGUGAUUUUUUAAAGAGUUUUAAUUCCUUUCUCUGUUCAGCUGUUAAUGCUGAGAUCCAUAUUUAGUUUUAUAAGCGCCUCCGUUUUUUGUUUCUUUUCUUUUUUUUGGCUCAUGAAUUUUUUGUUUGUCAUGGAAAUGUAAGAGUGGAAUAUUAAUACAUUUCAGUUCUGUAAUGUCAGGAAUUAAAAAAAAUUAAAAGAUGGACUGGAGCUUUUCCUUUGUGAAUAGAAACUGAA